GGAUCAUAUCAUUUGUGCAGUGAUGUAUGCAGCUGAGGCAUCCUACCAGACCGACUAUAGACUUGAACCUUGUUCCUACAUGACCCGAUCAUUUU